rnacentral:rRNA from 1 species
AGGUGGGGGACAACCCUGGGAAACUGGGGCUAAUACCGCAUAUGGGCUGAGGCCCAAAGCCGUAAGGCGCCUUUGGAGCGGCCUGCGUCCGAUUAGCUAGUUGGUGGGGUAAAGGCCUACCAAGGCUCCGAUCGGUAGCUGGUCUGAGAGGACGAUCAGCCACACUGGGACUGAGACACGGCCCAGACUCCCACGGGAGGCAGCAGUGGGGAAUAUUGGACAAUGGGCGCAAGCCUGAUCCAGCAAUGCCGCGUGGGUGAAGAAGGUCUUCGGAUCGUAAAGCCCUUUCGACAGGGACGAUGAUGACGGUACCUGUAGAAGAAGCCCCGGCUAACUUCGUGCCAGCAGCCGCGGUAAUACGAAGGGGGCUAGCGUUGCUCGGAAUUACUGGGCGUAAAGGGCGCGUAGGCGGCUUAGUCAGUCAGGCGUGAAAUUCCUGGGCUUAACCUGGGGGCUGCGCUUGAUACGGCUAGGCUUGAGGGUAGGAGAGGGUCGUGGAAUUCCCAGUGUAGAGGUGAAAUUCGUAGAUAUUGGGAAGAACACCGGUGGCGAAGGCGGCGACCUG